UUUUGAUUGAGACGUAGAAGCUUUUAAAGAUGUCAGUAAGGUUGAGCUCAUGGUCGGAAUUUCAGAAACUCACCACAAUUUUGUUUUGUUUUGUUUUGUUUGUUGGUGCUCGGCUUUUAUAGCGGAGAGGAGGGAAAAUAUAAACAAAACAUUGGUAGCGGAAGUAAAGAAACGCAAGGAAACAAAUGAACGGAAAACUGGGUUACCGAUAUCUUCACAGCGAAGUUGACAGAGAAAAUGUCUCAGUUAUAGUUACGGGAAUGUAAAAACAGCAACACCGGUUGUCAAGCAGUGAUGGAGGACAAACAAACAAAAAGACACGCUCUCUCUCUCUCUCUCUCUCUCUCUCUCUCUCUCUCUCUCUCUCUCUCUCUCUCUCUCUCUGUCUCUCUCUCUCUCUCUCUCUCUCUGUCUCUC